rnacentral:rRNA from 1 species
UAAUACGUAGGGUCCGAGCGUUGUCCGGAGUUACUGGGCGUAAAGCGCGCGCAGGCGGCGGUGUAAGCAUGGCGUGAAAGCCCCAGGCUCAACCUGGGAGGGUCGUCGUGGACUGCACCGCUUGAGGGCGGUAGGGGCUGGUGGAAUGCCUGGUGUAGUGGUGAAAUGCGUAGAGAUCAGGCGGAACACCCGUGGCGAAGGCGGCCAGCUGGGCCGUCCCUGACGCUGAGGCGCGAAGGCGUGGGGAGCGAACGGG